rnacentral:rRNA from 1 species
ACAGAGGGUGCAAGCGUUGUUCGGAAUCACUGGGCGUAGCGCGCGCAGGCGGAUGGUUGCGUCCGGAGUGAAAUUUCGCCGCUCAACGGCGAAGCUGCUUUGGAUACGGACCGUCUAGGGACCGGUAGAGGCUGGUAGAAUUGCAGGUGUAGCGGUGGAAUGCGUAGAGAUCGGGAAGAACAUCGGUGGCGAAGGCGGCCAGCUGGGCCAUUGCUGACGCUGAUGCGCGACAGCGUGGGGAGCAAACAGGA